UGAGGGAAUAAUGAGUUGACUGCCACUUCGGGGUGAUUAUCUUCCAUUCCCCUGAAUUACUAUACACUUUUCAGAAAUGGUGAACGUGAUCUGUGCCGCAAUGGCCAUUAAUACAAUAUAACUUUUAACAACGGAUCUCUUGGCUCUCGCAUCGAUGAAGAACGCAGCGAAAUGCGAUAAGUAAUGUGAAUUGCAGAAUUCAGUGAAUCAUCGAAUCUUUGAACGCACCUUGCGCUCCCUGGUAUUCCGGGGAGCACGCCUGUUCGAGUGUCGUGAAAUUUCUCAAGCUUGGCUGACAAUUUUUUUUGUCUGUCCUUAGUUUGGUUGUUGGGCUUUGCCGUCUCCUUCAUUGGGACGGCUGGCCUCAAAAGCAUUAGCUGAUCCUUGUGUGGAACUGGUUCUACUCAGCGUGAUAACAGUCUGAUCGCUGAGGACAUCUUUUGGGAUGGCCAGUCCCCAUAUGGGUUGCUUCUAAACCCGGUUUUGCAGAUUGUUUGAUCUGUAUUCCAAUUUUCAGCUUGA
rnacentral:rRNA from 1 species